GACGAACGCUGGCGGCGUGCUUAACACAUGCAAGUCGAACGGACCGGCCCUGGUUUUGUGGGGGGCUCAGGUACCGAACGGGUGAGUAACACGUGAGUAACCUACCCUUGACUUUGGGGUAACUUCAGGAAACUAGGGCUAAUACCGGAUAGGUUAUCCUGCUGCAAUGGGGGGGUUGGAGAGUUUCGGUGGUUGGGGAUGGGCUCGCGGCGUAUCAGCUUGUUGGUGGGGUAGUGGCUUACCAAGGCGUCGACGUGUAGCCGGGCUGAGAGGGUGACCGGCCCAAUUGGGCUUGGGAUGAGGCCCAGACUACUCCCGGACGCAGCAGUGGGGAAGAGUGCACAAUGGGCGGAAGGCUGAUGCAGCAACGCCGCGUGGGGGAUGAGGGGCUGCGGGUUGUAAACCGCAUUCGCCUGGGACGAAGCGUGAGUGACGGUACCGGGUAAAGAAGCACCGGCUAACUACGUG
rnacentral:rRNA from 1 species